UCUAUUUUGUUGAGGUGUACGUGCAUAAUUUGUGUCCUCAGAAUCAAGAAGAUUUUUAAAAACAAUAGGUAACUAUUUGCCACCUGAAUCACAACUGCAACAUUUGAUAACUGCAUUUUAACCAUAGCAUUACAUGUAAUAUAAAUGUCACAAAACUCAUAUUUCUUACAUAAGAAAACCCCCAACAAUAUGGAGAAAAAUCAUCAACAAGUACAACAUUAUAAUGAGAAAUCCCUUUGUACGGAUAGAAGAUUUUUCCUAUAUCAGAAUGAACUAACUAAGAAGGAGCAGAAGUCAUUAAAGCACUAGUAGUAAAAGGUAAAUUGUCUGUUUUCCAAAUGACAGCCAACAUGACUAGAAAUAUGAGUUCGAGAAAGAGAGACAUGACCCAAACGAGAAUUCCUUAAAUGAAAUAGACUCCACUUAGAAACUAAAUUCUGUAAAGAAGACUCAACAAAAGUACUAACGGCAGUACAAGAAGGAAAAAUGAAGCAAAUCAAGCAAGUAAAGUCCACCUUCUCUAUGUAUACCACAAUCUGCUUCCUAGAUGUGUGAUUCUGUACAGAACAAUGGAUUGGAGAAAAAGUAACAUUAAAACCAAUUAUAGUUAGUUGUCCAAUUGAUAAAAGGUUCAUAGGGAGGUUAGGCACAUCAUAAACAUCAGAUAAGGACCAAGUUGGUUGUUUAACAGUUGCAGGUGGACGAUAUCCACGAAAAUGAGCGGGAGGGUAUUCGAACCCAACUUUUGGCUGUCCAUUGGGUGACUCUUGAUAACAUGACGCCCUGCAGGAUAGCGAUUGUCCUACGAGCUAGUUCAACACAUGAUUUACAAGGAAGAACACGAGAGAAAAAGCUCAAAAUACAGAGAAAUCCUCUGACGUUCAACUCAAUUUUAUUAAAAUCUAAAAUGACGAAAAGCAGCCCACAAGCCGAGCUAUAUAGCUUAAAAAAACGUUAUUAUUGGAAUUUUACCAAAAAUAGUGAAAUCUCAAUAAUCAUACCAAAAUAAACUACGUAAUAAAAGAAGUAACUCGCCAAAAAUCUGGCUCAAAUCAAGACUAUAAUCAUCAAGAAAAUGACAAACGAAAUAUCACGAAAAAUGAAAAAAAAAUAACUAAAAAUAAGAAUUAGGAAGUGAAAACAGAUUGGUCUCGAAAACUAUGCCCACCGAGAGCAGCUGAGUGACCAUGACGUGCACACCGAAAAGAGUUUUCCAGAUUGGGGUUUACAAUUGCAAUUCUGAUAACCGCAGCCAAAGUUAUGGCCAAAUUAUCAAGAUGUGUUCAGAAUUGCCCCAAUUAGGAAAAGACUGCGAUCACUUGCCAUCUUUGCGCCAAUUUUUCAACUCAUGGUAUCUUAGCACCAUCAACGUACUAUCUGACAACCUAGCAUCUCUUGCAAGCAUUCAAAACACAAAAUUAAUACUUACAUAGUUAAAGUAACCAAUAAAAUUGGGAUCACAACCCUUACCUCAUGUUUCGAACCCAAAACACAUAUCAUACCUACUUUAUGUACUCAUCAGGGCCAAGGUCACAAACAAAUACCACAGUAAAACAGAUAAUCACAGUGAAAUCAAGAGCAAAUAAACAUGCAAUGAAGAUAUAACAUAAGAUAAAAGACACGGUUCUUUUCAAAACACAUUUAUACAGAACAAUAGAUCAACAUGAAAUUAAUCAAUCAAAUGAUCAACACAUAUGCAACAAAUGCAUAAAUGACUCCACAAACAGAUCUCACCACACUUAUAAUAUCUCAUUCCGAGUUGUUCACACCUCGAGAACAUAUAUCUCCUUUCAUCGUCCAUCAUACUCACUAGACUGAUCACUCAACUCAUAUCUAACUGGUAAACCACAAUUGAUCCUAAGUCCACGAGAUAAUCCUCUAUUACUACAUCACUUCUCCCAACCUAAGUAGAUAAUGGGACUCCACCUAACAGAAGUAAUAGAAGUGUCUCUCUUACACUUCACCUGAUUAUGGUCUUUAUAGAUAAAAGAUUCCAACAUUUAAUUACCUCUCCACUCAUGAUCUAAAUGUCAUACUCCACAGCCCCUGUACAAACCACCAAUGUACCCAUAGAUAUCUAUACUCUAUCUUACCAAAAGACACUCAACAAACUUACUGCUAAAUCAUCCCAACCCACUAUGCAUGCAAACAAUUAUACAAAGUAAUCAAUUUGCUCUCAAAUUCAUGCAAAUAUACGUAUCAAACACAUUGAAAUGCAACAUAUAACCUUGCAAAGGAAUUAAGCAAUUACACAUAUGCAGAAAGGAUUACAC
rnacentral:lncRNA from 1 species